GAUGGGGAUGAGAUUUCAGUUGCUCCGGGACCGACGCAUCUCCUCCCGUGGGCCAGGUCCUCAUGCACACAAAGCGGAUCCGUGGCGGCGAAAACAAUUGACAACUGGCCUCAUGACCCAGGCAGAGACGCAGAAAGAGGCUCACCAAAGACAGGCCGCCAUGCCAGAAACCGUUUUGUGGUGUACAGGGCACAUUCGGCCAAAGACACACACGCACAAGGGCACACACGCACAAACCCACAGAAAGAGGGAAAGAAACACACAGAGACUGAGAGACAGAGAGAGAAGAGAGAAUGGGAGACACACACACACCCACACAGACACACACACGCAC
rnacentral:lncRNA from 10 species